rnacentral:rRNA from 1 species
UACAGAGGGUGCGAGCGUUGUCCGGAAUCACUGGGCGUAAAGGGCGCGUAGGUGGCGACCCAAGUCUGUGGUGAAAGCUCGCCGCUUAACGGCGAGUCGGCCACGGAUACUGGGUGGCUCGAGCACUGUAAGGGCAGAUGGAAUUCCGGGGUGUAGCGGUGGAAUGCGUAGAGAUCCGGAAGAACACCGGUGGCGAAGGCGGGUCUCUGGGCAGUAACUGACGCUGAGGAGCGAAAGCGUGGGGAGCGAACAGG